AUGUGUCUGGUAGCAUGUUUGGGUCUCCAACGGAGGUUUGUGUGGCGCUUGGUGUGUUGGUAUCAGAGUUGAGUGAAGAGCCAUGGUUUAAUGAAGAUUACUAAUCCUCGCCGAGCCCUCUUUUUAAUUGAUAUGCCAUAUCUGAAUUCAAAAUGUCUUGGAUUAAGGGCAUAUUCUUUGCAAUUCAGCAAGACAUCCCGUAUAUUGGCAUGGUGUUCGCAAAUUGCAAUCCAGAAAGACUUCUGAUACUGUAAAGAAAGAAAAAGAACAUUCGAUUGAUCGAAUUGACUCAAAUAGAAAUCCGUGGGCCAAAAAGAGUGGCAGUCCCAGCAUUAAUUGAAGAAACAUAUAUAGAAUCGGAUCAUUGCCCCCACGUACUCCAGAAUUGAAUCACUGAUAGUGUUUGUGAUGCAGUCUGUGAUCUUCCUUGUGCAGGGGUCUUGCUGCUUGGCAUUUCUUGCGUACGAAAGAUGAAAUCUUCUGCGGAGCUGUUUCUGUACAUGGGUGUCAUUGUCACGCAUGCUUGCACCUUGUCUAUUAUUAUUGCAAAUGAGCUUUCGUUCCCAGCAUUAGUUUUGAUUAAUACUAAUAAACUAUUUCUCAAAAUUGUCGAAUUCAUUAAA